rnacentral:lncRNA from 1 species
GGAACUGGGAGCCUUUCCGCCAGAGUGAUGAUGGAUCAUCAGCUUCACUCUGUCAGAUAGAAAUCUUAAUCUUGCAUAACUGAAGCUCAGGUAUCAUGCAAGACCACUUCUAUUCAUCCAAAGAUGACCGUCUGUAUAGAAGCUGUCAGCAGAGGUCCCUACGGUCUGCCGAAACCUGGAUCUUCCAUUUUUCUUUGAGGAUAUGACGAUGGGCAAAAAUUGUCCCAUCAAGCGCUCCAGUGGCUUCCAAGUGAUGACCAAAAGCCUAUCUCUUCCACAUCCACCAACAAAAGAUGUGCACUGUGGUUGUGAAGAGUACCUACGACCACUUCCACGGCUUCUGGGGACAGCCAAGGCACUGCUGCUCCCCACGGUUCCACGCAGGCUCUCAAGGGUAAGUGUGCCCUCUCUUUGGGGAAAUACAGUAUUAUUCCAUUAAACCCACAAAAUCACAGAAAGAAUUUUUCUUGAUCACUCCAGGAACACUGCCACAUCCUUAUUUAGGUGCUUUAUAAUGAAAUGCGUGCACCUGAAAUACAUCAGAGGUCGUAUGGCUAUGUGCUGUAUAUUUCAAAUAAUUACCUUAGAGAACAUUGGGUGAAAUUAGAACUGAAAAACAUGUAUGAGUGAAUCUGGUGCAGAUAAAAGGAUUAAAUGUAACCUUUCUCACCUGGAAAUACUCUUCACCAAAUCUCACUAAGACUUUUCAGAUACGUUUCAUUAAAAUAAGUCUUUCAGUAAUUAGAUUUAAUUCUACUGUAAAAUGGAAGUCUCUGCCCGACAUUCCUCUAGACUAAUACAGAAAUUUAAAGAAUUUGGAUUGCUCACAGUGAGCAUGUUUUUCUUCUGUAGACAUUGUCCUUGUAAACUCCCUUUAAAAAGCAGACGCCAACAGCUUUCCCCUCCCUUCUUUUAAUAACUCUUUUAGUUUAAAUUCAUAAAAUGUAUGAAUGUGGAGAGGGCCAGAGGGGAAAAACAAAGAAUCAAACAAAAACAUACCACACAACUUCCACGGCUUUAUAUCAACAGAUGAUAUAAAUGCUAUAUAUAUAUGUCUAUCUACAUUAUUAUAUAUAAACGAAG